CCUACGGGAGGCAGCAGUGAGGAAUAUUGGUCAAUGGGCGCUAGCCUGAACCAGCCAAGUAGCGUGAAGGAUGACUGCCCUAUGGGGUGUAAACUUCUUUUAUAUGGGAAUAAAGUGCAGUAUGUAUACUGCUUUGCAUGUACAUUAUGAUUAAGGAUCGGCUAACUCCGUGCCAGCAGCCGCGGUAAUACGGAGGAUCCGAGCGUUAUCCGGAUUUAUUGGGCGUAAAGGGUGCGUAGGCGGGUCGUUAAGUCAGUUGUGAAAGUUUGCGGCUCAACCGUAAAAUUGCAGUUGAUACUGGCAACCUAGAGUACAGUAGAGGUAAACGGAAUUCGUGGUGUAGCGGUGAAAUGCUUAGAUAUCACGAAGAACACCGAUUGCGAAAGCAGCCUGCUGGACUGUAACUGACGCUGAGGAUCGAAAGUGUGGGUAGCAAACGGGAUUAGAUACCCGAGUAGUC
rnacentral:rRNA from 1 species